GGGACCCUCGCCCUUCACUUCUCCUAAGGUUUUGAACUUGAACUCCCUUUGUGUCUUGAUAACUUAUGCUUUGUAGGUUGUCAUUUAUGGGCUAUGCACUCAGUAUUAAUACCUGGAUUGAACCAUGGAUGGGUUGUCAUAUUUAGAUAUGCAUUUCCUCAUUCAUGGUACAUACUAAAUACACAAGAUACGUUCUCCUUGUAUGUGUAAGUGGAUGCACUCAGUAGAUCUCACAUUCAUGAUUCACCCUUCCUUGUAUUUUCAUUGCGAUUUCUUAAAUGGAAACAG
rnacentral:lncRNA from 1 species